rnacentral:rRNA from 1 species
ACGCCAGCAUCCUAGCCGAAGCGCGGACCUCAGUCCCGGCUGGCCGUAUUACACCCUGGGCUAUAACACCUCCACCGAAGUGGAGGCCACAUUCCCAGAGCCUUUAUCCGGCCGCCGAAACUGAUGCUGGCCUGUCCAAACUGAGUAAACCGGUCAGAAGACCGGCCGAACAGUUUAAACAAGUCUGAUUGCAAGCGCUUCCCUUUCAACAAUUUCACGUGCUUUUUAACUCUCUUUCCAAAGUGCUUUUCAUCUUUCGAUCACUCUACUUGUGCGCUAUCGGUCUCUCGCCAAUAUUUAGCUUUAGAAGAAAUUUACCUCCCAUUUAGAGCUGCAUUCCCAAACAACUCGACUCGUCGAAGGAGAUUUACAUAGGGUGCCAUUUCCUGUCACAUACGGGAUUCUCACCCUCUAUGACGUCCUGUUCCAAGGAACUUAGACAGGCGGCUUCCCCAAAUCAUCCUCUACAAAUUACAAUGCGAACCCGAAGGC